rnacentral:rRNA from 1 species
UACGUAGGGUGCAGGCGUUAAUCGGAAUUACUGGGCGUAAAGCGUGCGCAGGCGGUUUGCUAAGACAGGUGUGAAAUCCCCGGGCUUAACCUGGGAACUGCGCUUGUUACUGGCAGGCUUGAGUGUGGCAGAGGGGGGUGGAAUUCCGCGUGUAGCAGUGAAAUGCGUAGAUAUGCGGAGGAACACCGAUGGCGAAGGCAAUCCCCUGGGCCUGCACUGACGCUCAUGCACGAAAGCGUGGGGAGCAAACAGG